UAACACCCCCCUCUUUAGCAACCAUUUCCCCCCUCACCAAGACUGAAGGUCUCGCAACCCUAGACAGUGGGAAAGACGACACACACAUAGCUCUCACUGCGCCUCUAACAAAAUCCAAAUACUGCCGACAACAUGUCCCCCGUUGGGUCCUUCAAACAAAAUUGACGCCUUACGUGCGUCGUAUCGUAGCGUGACCGGGAAACCUAGCCAGAAAAUCCCAAGGCUUCCUCAAAUCAGGGAAAAGGGAAGGGGUUUGCUUUGUCACAUCUAAAUUGUAUUAGAAGAAGGUCUGUAACUCGAAUGUGGUUUUAUCAAUUCAUUAACCGAUGUUGUGUUUCUCAAUCUAGACUCCUCGGUCAAGCAACGCUUGUAGAAAUUCCAAACACAAACAACUCUUGACCUUUGGCUGCAAAACUUAUGUGGGUAAGGUGAUCGACAUGCUUCGCAUUAGAUGCAUUUGUGUUGUUGCAAACUCAUACUUGUGUUAUAUUUUGUGUGCUUUGAUGAGCAAAUAUUCAGUCCUCAAUCUUUGCCGAAGUAGAAUGGCUUCAUGUUUGAUAAAUUACCUCAAACAUGAGUAUUCAAGUUCUUUGAUGUUUCAGUGCUAAUUCUGUGUUUAUGUAUGAUUGUGAUUGAUUACAAAGGAACUUAUGAUACUACAUUUGUAUGGAGUAUUUAGGCCAACCAAGGGAUGAGAAAUCCAUCUGACAAUUACUACCAAUUAUACAUGAUGCUCGAAGACAUCAUGUAUUUAUACUGGGUAGAGAGCACUAUUCUCGUACAUCGUUACAUCCGAGCCGGCACAAAACGUGCUAGGCUUAGGAUCGUAUAACAUGAACGGCUAACUAAGGUUCCGGAUCAACGAAAGUACUUGAACAGACUCCUCUACAUCACCGAUGUAGACUGCAUGGCUAACUUAAAAAGGGAUCGCAACACCUUUGGGAGAUUGUGUCGAAUCCUCACGGAGCGGUGGGGUUUAAAAAUAGAGAAAUGCCUAGGCAUCGAAGAACUUGUGGCCAUGUUUGUAGGCAUGUUGGCGCAUCACAAUAAAAACUGUGUUGUUCGUUUCAGCUUUGCGAGGUCUGGUUCCACAGUAUCACAUUAUGUCAAUACUGUUUUAGGUGUUGUUUUGAGUCUUCAUGGUGUAUUCCCGACGAAGCCUACCCUCGUACCCGAUGAGUGCAUUACCCAUCGGUGGAAAUGGUUCAAGGUGUGUUUUUAUCCAAGACAAACCAAGAUACUUUGUGAUCCUCAUUCGGCAUGUUAAUCACCUACCUAUUUUUUCCACACACAUCAAUGUCCUGGUAAGUAGCAGGGAUAAACCCCGUUAUCUCACUAGAAAGGGCUCUAUCGCAACGAACAAAUUGGCUGUCUGUGAUCACGUUCGUAUAUUUUCUGGCAGGGUGGGAGGGUUUCGCAGGCGACUCUAGGGUGCUCAGGGAUGUCGUGGCGCGACACAACGAGCUAAGGGUUCCACAACGUAUAAUUUGUGAUUUGUAAAUGAUUUUGAUAGUAUACAAGAGGAUGUUACUAUCUAUGCGAUAAUGGAUAUGCGAACAGUAACGGAUUCUUGACGCCCUAUAAAGGGGUUCGAUACCACCUCAAGGAAUGGGGAGUAGGUAAUGCGCAUCCCAAGAACCCGAAAGAACUGUUUAAUAUGAGGAUUGAGGCAUAGCAAGGCUAGGAACGUGAUCGAGAGAGCCUUUGCUGUUUUGAAGAUGCGUUGGGGGAUAUUACGAAGUGCGUCGUUUUACCCAAUUGAGACACAAAUCAGGUUGAUCAUGGUGUGCUUCCUUCUACAUAAUUUCAUUCGCCACGAGAUGAAUACUGACCCUUUAGAAGUCGAGCUUGAAUGAGAGGACUCUUCACUUCCCUGACAAAGAGUAUAUACUGCAUGAUUACAUAGAUUACGUUGAUCCAACUUCAAAAUGGACGCAAUUUCGAGACUUGAUAAGGCUCGUUUAAUGCAUUGGUUUUAGAUCAAAACUCUUUGUUUUCGGUGCACUAAUGUCCGUUUCUAAGUUCAGGUGCGUGAAAAAUCUGCCGGACCUAGGAAGCGCAUAUAAAUUACCAGGGGCAAGGGAAAAUGAGGAAAAAGAAGUGAAAACGCCAGUAAUUUACCAGACCGAGGAGAUGAAAAUGAAUGCUGGUAGAAUAUAAAAAUGGAGCAAGGAGCAAAUAUAAAGAAGAAGGGCAAAAAAGACAAAUUAUGAAGAGAGAGUGCCCUAGGGAUUGCUGCAUAUAUAAAGGGACGACCCCUUUUAGAAGAAGAGCCUCCUUUUUAGCAUUUUUCGAUCUUUUACACUUAGUCUCCUUAGCUUCACUCUCUAACCAUAGUUCACUUCACUUCACUUUACACGCACUUGGCACUUAUGGGGUGACUUCCGGGUACUGUGGUGGUUCGUAGCUAGUUUCUGUGGUGUAACACCGUCCUUACGAGGGCGAAGAUACAAUUUGCUUUUAUUUUCCAUUGUUUAUUCUCGCCGAGAACUUCCUUGCCGGAAGCUCGCCUACUGUUUUGUGUUCUGGAUAUUGUUCUCGUGGAUAUGGCAGUUUCUACUUUCUGUUUUAUUAUGGUUUCUAAUGUUUGAUGUUGUUUUACUAAUUUUGGAUGCUUUUCGCAAUUGAUUGUUGAAUUGAAGUUGAGAUUGGUUGAAUCUGUGUUGUUGUUGUUGAGGAGUUAUUUGAAUCGGAGUUCAUAUUCAUGGAUCUGAAUGUUGUUGAGUAGGAUCAAUUGGAUCUGGAAGGGAUUAUGAGUCGGAGUUGUGGAUCUGAUACGUGGUGAAUUGAAUCUGCAUGAUUAUGGCAUUUUUACUGUUGUUCUCGCAUCUGCUAGGCCCAGUAGUUUGGAUCUAUUGAUUUUAGUCUUUAAUCCCUUGUUUAAUUUCAGAUCUUGAACUUGCUCUGUUUUCAUGAUGUUUAUUACUCUGUUUUAUCUUGUUUUUCCCGUUGGAUUCCUGAAGAAGAUGAAGUUUGUUAGUAGUUAGGAUCAAAUUUGCGAUCUGUCUGUUUUCUCUGCCUUGUCCUUUACUUUUCUUGAUGCGAAUCCACAAGUCACACAUCAUUUGAUCAACCCCACCAAGGACAUCCAUCGACCAAUGACGAGGGGAAUGACAAAGAAGAUGCAAGACAACUUAAGCACAUUCAUCCGUGGAUUAAGCUCCUCCGAAGAUAAUGCUCGAGUGGGGAACAACCGGAAGCUAAGCAUGGUGCUCAAGGCCACGUUGGAGGAGGGAACGGAAGCGAUGCCCGUCCAAGCUUUUCUUAUGGAGUCAUUUACUCCUCACUGCACGCCUUUCGUAUAAUGGCCAUAACUCUCUCAUCCGGACUCCGAUAGGGGCAUGCAAGAUACUCACGCGAAGCCCUUUCGAAGACGAAGAUAGUGUUUUUGGAGGAUU